UUAACGCCUUUUGUCUCUUCCAAUCACCUACAAAAUUUCACCACGUUUGUCAGAUGUUCAAUUUUGUGCUCCAUAAGUAAUUGACGUCGUGCUUGAUGAAGAGAUUUUGAAUCUCGAAACAUGUUGCACUGAUCUUAUAUUAAGAAUAAAUAAUUUUUCAUCGUU